CCUAAGAGUGAUUCUUAGCUUUAAGAAAUUUGACAACUUGCUUUUAUACUUGAGUUUGAAAGUAGGAGUAUAUUUCAUGAAUUCUUAGUACUUAAGACAAAAAUGGCACUUUCAGAAGCUUGAUAAAUAUGGGAACAGUUGUUCAACUUGAAACUAACUUCAGUUUUUUUCCUAUCAGUAUUUCUGCAAAAUUCUGUUCCGUGUAACAUGGCUUAUGCAAGACUGAAUCCAUAAAGGGGAUGUUCUGUGGAGACUGUGGGCGAUUCCUUCUGCUGUCAUUUAAACAUGAGCAGGAGUAAUGACGGGUUUAAAUGGAUGCACCUAAUAUUAUGCCUGAGUCCGCUGCUUAUGCUGUAACCAUAAAGCAACCAGGACAACAUACCUGGAGUGACCGAGAGCAGGAUGAAGAAAGAAUCGGACGAGAAAAUAUGAACUGGUGCCCAUGAGGAGACAUACUGUUCUUGGGCCUGCUUUUUCUGUUUAGUAAUACGUGGUUUUAUGUGGUUAAAUAAAAGUAAUUUAAUAUUCAAUCCACAAGCUAAAUUUCCUACAUUUUCUUAAAGGGGCAGUUUACCCAAAAAGGAAAAUUCUGUCAUUUACACGAAUAGUUUGGCUACAAACAUUUCUCACAAUAUCUUCCUUCAUGUUUAUCAGAACAAAGAUAUUUAUGUGGGUUUGUAACAACAUGCGUGUGUACAUGAUGACAGAAUUUUCAUUUUUGGGUGAACUACACCUUUAACAUUUUUAUACCCAGGGGAAAAAGAAAUGUAUGUUAAACACUUUUAGUUUGUCUUUUUUUGUUACUGCUACUUUCAACAAGACUAAUUAUUCAGCCAAGCUUAUUUUGUACUUAAAGAAAUGAACAGCUUUUAUGGGUUUUAAGACCCAGAUAUGUACUCACAGUUUGCCAAUAGAAUGCCCUGUGGUCCCACAAUUUACCCGCAGUAUGCCCACACUUUGUCCAUUGUGCCCACAUUUUUCCCACGUAUUUGUAUUUGAAUACAUUUUUCCACACUGUAUUUAGUAUUUUUGAUAUCUGUGAAUUUGUGAUAGUAUUUUGAAUUUUAAAACAAUUCCAUGUAUGUA